AUCUGCCUACGGCCAUACCACCCUGAACAUGCCCAAUCUCGUCUGAUCUCGGAAACUAAGCAGGGUUGGGCCUGGUUAGUACAUGGAUGGG
rnacentral:rRNA from 11 species